rnacentral:rRNA from 1 species
GAUGAACGCUGGCGGCGUGCCUAAUACAUGCAAGUAGAACGCGGAAGGCAGGAGCUUGCUCUUUCCGGUUGAGUUGCGAACGGGUGAGUAACGCGUGGGUAACCUGCCUGGUAGCGGGGGAUAACUAUUGGAAACGAUAGCUAAUACCGCAUAACUGUACGUGUUUCAUGGCACCUAUUUUAAAUGGGCAAUUUCUCCACUACCAGAUGUACCUGAGUUGUAUUAGCUAGUUGGUGAGGUAACGUCGCACCAAGCAGACGAUACGUAGCCGACCUGAGAGGGUGAUCGGCCAUACUUGGACUGAGACACGGCCCAGACUCCUUCGGGAGGCAGCAGUAGGGAAUCUUCGGCAAUGGACGGAAGUCUGACCGAGCAACGCCGCGUGGGUGAAGAAGGUUUGCGGAUCGUAAAGCUCUGUUGUAAGAGAAGAACGAGUGUGAGAGUGGAAAGUUCACAAUGUGACGGUAUCUUACCAGAAAGGGACGGCUAACUACGUG